rnacentral:siRNA from 1 species
AACAAAGAAGAAAAACAGAUCUGC